rnacentral:rRNA from 1 species
AAGCAGCCGCCGCGGUAAUACGUAGGUGGCAAGCGUUGUCCGGAAUUAUUGGGCGUAAAGGGCUCGCAGGCGGUUUCUCAAGUCUGAUGUGAAAGCCCCCGGCUCAACCGGGGAGGGUCAUUGGAAACUGGGAAACUUGAGUGCAGAAGAGGAGAGUGGAAUUCCACGUGUAGCGGUGAAAUGCGUAGAGAUGUGGAGGAACACCAGUGGCGAAGGCGACUCUCUGGUCUGUAACUGACGCUGAGGAGCGAAAGCGUGGGGAGCGAACAGGAUUAGAUACCCGUGUAGUCCCUGUCUCUUAUAC